rnacentral:rRNA from 1 species
UACGGAGGGUGCGAGCGUUGUCCGGAAUCACUGGGCGUAAAGGGCGCGUAGGUGGCGGCGGGCAGUCAACGGUGAAAGUUCGGGGCUCAACCCUGAAUCCGGCCGUCGAUACUCCCGGGCUUGAGCACUGUAGAGGCAGAUGGAAUUCCGGGUGUAGCGGUGGAAUGCGGUAGAGAUCCGGAAGAACACCGGUGGCGAAGG